rnacentral:rRNA from 1 species
CUCCUACGGGAGGCAGCAGUGGGGAAUAUUGCACAAUGGGGGAAACCCUGAUGCAGCGACGCCGCGUGGAGGAAGAAGGUCUUCGGAUUGUAAACUCCUGUUGUUGAGGAAGAUAAUGACGGUACUCAACAAGGAAGUGACGGCUAACUACGUGCCAGCAGCCGCGGUAAAACGUAGGUCACAAGCGUUGUCCGGAAUUACUGGGUGUAAAGGGAGCGCAGGCGGGAGAACAAGUUGGAAGUGAAAUCCAUGGGCUCAACCCAUGAACUGCUUUCAAAACUGUUUUUCUUGAGUAGUGCAGAGGUAGGCGGAAUUCCCGGUGUAGCGGUGGAAUGCGUAGAUAUCGGGAGGAACACCAGUGGCGAAGGCGGCCUACUGGGCACCAACUGACGCUGAGGCUCGAAAGUGUGGGUAGCAAACAGGAUUAGAUACCCUGGUAGUCCACACCGUAAACGAUGAUUACUAGGUGUUGGAGGAUUGACCCCUUCAGUGCCGCAGUUAACACAAUAAGUAAUCCACCUGGGGAGUACGACCGCAAGGUUGAAACUCAAAGGAAUUGACGGGGGCCCGCACAAGCAGUGGAGUAUGUGGUUUAAUUCGACGCAACGCGAAGAACCUUACCAAGUCUUGACAUCCCUUGACGAACAUAGAAAUAUGUUUUCUCUUCGGAGCAAGGAGACAGGUGGUGCAUGGUUGUCGUCAGCUCGUGUCGUGAGAUGUUGGGUUAAGUCCCGCAACGGGCGCAACCCUUAUGGUCAGUUACUACGCAAGAGGACUCUGGCCAGACUGCCGUUGACAAAACGGAGGAAGGUGGGGAUGACGUCAAAUCAUCAUGCCCUUUAUGACUUGGGCUACACACGUACUACAAUGGCGUUAAACAAAGAGAAGCAAGACCGCGAGGUGGAGCAAAACUCAGAAACAACGUCCCAGUUCGGACUGCAGGCUGCAACUCGCCUGCACGAAGUCGAGAAUUGCUAGUAAUCGUGGAUCAGCAUGCCACGGUGAAUACGUUCCCGGGCCUUGUACACACCGC